AUUGAACGCUGGCGGCAGGCCUAACACAUGCAAGUCGAACGAGUGGCGGACGGGUGAGUAAUGGCUGGGAAACUGCCCGAUGGAGGGGGAUAACUACUGGAAACGGUAGCUGAUACCGCAUAACACCGGAUGCGCCCAGAUGGGAUUAGCUAGGAGGUGGGGUAAUGGCGCACAUAGGCGACGCUCCCUAGCUGGUAGGAGAGGAUGACCAGCCACACUGGAACUGAGACACGGUCCAGACUCCUACGGGAGGCAGCAGUGGGGAAUAUUGCACAAUGGGCGCAAGCCUGAUGCAGCCAUGCCGCGUGUAUGAAGAAGGCCUUCGGGUUGUAAAGUACUUUCAGCGAGGAGGCGUUACUCGCAGAAGAAGCACCGGCUAACUCCGUGCCAGCAGCCGCGGUAAUUC
rnacentral:rRNA from 1 species